rnacentral:misc_RNA from 1 species
GUGUCAGGCAGAGCAAGUGUAGCUGCAUUGAAAUUUUCAUCUUCAUUGUUUGCCAGGUUAAAGAAAAAGGAAAAGGACAAUUUAUCAAUCAAAAUAAGUGUACCAUGCAUCUGAAGUUGUAUGCAACUGCACAGAUUACAACUUAUACCAGCAUUAGUUAAGACAAAAUGUUGGAAUUGAUGAAAUUCCAUCUUCCAUUUUUAGGGGGAGCGUUAUGGAAAGUCAAUAUUUGUAU